rnacentral:piRNA from 1 species
UUUCAAGGUGACUGAGAGGUUUAUUUUCAU